rnacentral:rRNA from 1 species
UGGGGAAUCUUGCACAAUGGGCGAAAGCCUGAUGCAGCGACGCCGCGUGAGCGAUGAAGGCCUUCGGGUUGUAAAGCUCUGUGGGGAGGGACGAAUAGAGGCUGGCUAAUAUCCAGUCUGAUGACGGUACCUCCUUAGCAAGCACCGGCUAACUCUGUGCCAGCAGCCGCGGUAAGACAGAGGGUGCAAACGUUGUUCGGAAUUACUGGGCGUAAAGCGCGUGUAGGCGGCUACAUAAGUCGGACGUGAAAUCCCAUGGCUCAACCGUGGAAGAGCGCUCGAAACUGUGUGGCUUGAGUCCUGGAGAGGAAAGCGGAAUACUUGGUGUAGAGGUGAAAUUCGUAGAUAUCAGGUAGAACACCAGUGGCGAAGGCGGCUUUCUGGACAGUGACUGACGCUGAGACGCGAAAGCGUGGGGAGCAAACAGG